rnacentral:rRNA from 1 species
UAGGGAAUCUUCGGCAAUGGGGGGAACCCUGACCGAGCAACGCCGCGUGAGUGAAGAAGGUUUUCGGAUCGUAAAGCUCUGUUGUUAAGGAAGAACGAGUGUGAGAAUGGAAAGUUCAUACUGUGACGGUACUUAACCAGAAAGGGACGGCUAACUACGUGCCAGCAGCCGCGGUAAUACGUAGGUCCCGAGCGUUGUCCGGAUUUAUUGGGCGUAAAGCGAGCGCAGGCGGUCAAUUAAGUCUGAUGUGAAAGCCCCCGGCUCAACCGGGGAGGGUCAUUGGAGACUGGUUGGCUUGAGUGCAGGAGAGGAGGGUGGAAUUCCAUGUGUAGCGGUGAAAUGCGUAGAUAUAUGGAGGAACACCGGUGGGGAAGGCGACUCUCUGGUCUGUAACUGACGCUGAGGCUCGAAAGCGUGGGUAGCAAACAGG